GACGUAGGGCGCGAGCGUUGUCCGGAUUUAUUGGGCGUAAAGAGCUCGUAGGCGGCUUGUCGCGUCGUCCGUGAAAACCUGUGGCUCAACUGCAGGCUUGCGGUCGAUACGGGCAGGCUAGAGUUCGGUAGGGGAGACUGGAAUUCCUGGUGUAGCGGUGAAAUGCGCAGAUAUCAGGAGGAACACCGGUGGCGAAGGCGGGUCUCUGGGCCGUAACUGACGCUGAGGAGCGAAAGCGUGGGGAGCGAACAGG
rnacentral:rRNA from 1 species